rnacentral:rRNA from 1 species
AACGAACGCUGGCGGCAUGCCUAACACAUGCAAGUCGAACGAGACCUUCGUGUCUAGUGGCGCACGGGUGCGUAACGCGUGGGAACCUGCCCUUAGGUUCGGAAUAACUCCUCGAAAGGGGUGCUAAUACCGGAUAAUGUCUUCGGACCAAAGAUUUAUCGCCUUUGGAUGGGCCCGCGUUGGAUUAGCUAGUUGGUAGGGUAAAAGCCUACCAAGGCGACGAUCCAUAGCUGGUCUGAGAGGAUGAUCAGCCACACUGGGACUGAGACACGGUCCAGACUCCUACGGGAGGCAGCAGUGGGGAAUAUUGGACAAUGGGCGAAAGCCUGAUCCAGCAAUGCCGCGUGAGUGAUGAAGGCCUUAGGGUUGUAAAGCUCUUUUACCCGGGAUGAUAAUGACAGUACCGGGAGAAUAAGCUCCGGCUAACUCCGUG